rnacentral:sRNA from 1 species
AAGUUAUCGAGAGCAGUCGCUUCCCCGCCGUCGUGCCGGACCCACGUCCGUCAUGGCGUCCCUCAAGAUUAUUGCGUUGUCCGCGUUCUGCUUCCAGCUGGCGCUUCUCUCAGAACCGCCGUGCGUGAUGGAGCUGGAGUGCGCGGAGUGCGUGCCGGAGAACAUGCCGGUGGUGACGUCGCACCGCGCGGCCAACGGGUCGGUGCGCGCGCGCGCGGGCGAGGAGCUCGCGCUGGCGUGCGCGGGCGGCAAGUUCCUCGCCUACCCGCUGCACGAGUCGCUGCGCGCCGUGUGCGAGGCGGGCCGCUACCGCGUGGCGCUCGACCGCAAGCUGCGGCACCUGCUCGAGCUCGGCUGCCAGGAGAGCGUGUUCGAGGACGUGCUGCACCAGGUAGACCGAUGUGGAGCUCCGUAUCAGGGGCGAGCGUACCAGAUGCGGGAGCCGAUCACGGGCACGGUGCGGCACCUGGCGACCGUCUGCUACGACGAAGACCGCGCCGUGGCCAUCAGGAUGCACGUCACCAACGCUGCCAGGAACCACCUACAACUGCCGCCGCACGAGGACCACACCGCGCCGCUCAGCCUCCUUGGAAACUUCAACCACAUGUUCGACGCGAAAACCCGCCAUGACGCAGAGAAACUGUAUUCAGAUGACGCGAGAAUGAACCGGCGGCUUCACGAGUUGUUCAAGCACGAUAAAUACUCGUUCGCCGCACAGAAACUCACGUCAGCCAACCUGCUCAGCAAACACUACUUCGAAGAUCAGAACAUGCGCGUGACCGACUUCGUGUCAAACAAAGUGGCGGUGUGGGAGUCGGUGGCGGAGGGCAACCUGCGGCACCUGCAGCGGGACGUGGCCAAGCUGCUGGAGAUGGCGCGGCCGCACGAGGAGCUGGAGGUGUACGCGGGCACGCACGGCGUACUGUCGCUGCGCGCGGGCCACGCGCGGGCGGUAGUGUUCCCUGCGCGCGGCGCGGCUCCCCGUGCCGCGGUUCGUGUGGACGGCGGUGGUGGCGCGGGCGCGGCGCGCGGGCGUGGCGCUGGUGCUGCUCAACGACCCGUUCGUGGCGGUGAGCGAGGUGCGCGCGGCGGUGUUCUGCGACAGCGCGUGCGGCGGCGUGGCGUGGCUGCACGAGCUGCGCCGCCACCGCAACUACGAGUGCCCGCUGCAGGGCCUCGUGUUCUGCUGCCAUCUGCACAACUUCACCAGCGUCGUGUCCGAGAUGCCGCUCGACGAAGUGCAGGUCGACGCCGGGGUCGCCGGCAUGCUCAAUAAUAACCUCUUUGUUUAGAACUAUUUUACUAAAAUACGGACUCCUUAUCGGGUUCGCCUAUUAAAAUAUCAAUGUCGCGAAAGAAAUGUCGUUAUCGCAAGCUUUUUCUGUUCAAGAAAAUUAAGUAUUGAAAUACUUACAAUAUAAUAUCAACAGUUUGUUCAAUAAAAGAAACAAUAUUAUAUUUUUAAAAGAACUUUAUUAAAAAAAA